rnacentral:rRNA from 1 species
CCUACGGGUGGCAGCAGUAGGGAAUCUUUCACAAUGGGCGAAAGCCUGAUGGAGCAACGCCGCGUGCAGGAUGAAGGCCUUCGGGUUGUAAACUGCUUUUAUAAGCGAGAAAUAUGAUGGUAACUUAUGAAUAAGGAUCGGCUAACUACGUGCCAGCAGCCGCGGUCAUACGUAGGAGCCGAGCAUUAUCCGGAGUGACUGGGUGUAAAGAGUUGCGUAGGUGGCAUAAUAAGUAGCUAGUGAAAUCGGGUGGCUCAACCAUUCAGACUAUUGGCUAAACUGUUAAGCUCGAGACCGUUAGAGGUAACUGGAAUGUCUAGUGUAGGGGUGAAAUCCGUAGAUAUUAGAAAGAACACCGAUAGCGUAGGCAGGUUACUGGGACGGUUCUGACGCUAAGGCACGAAAGCGUAGGGAGCAAACGGGAUUAGAUACCCUUGUAGUC